rnacentral:misc_RNA from 1 species
CUGCUUCGACCCCGUCGCCGGGCACCACCUCUUCGAUGGCUCUGCCUCAAAGUUGCAGCCCGCUACACUGGAGCUCUGUUCGGUCGCACCCCUCGGGCCCCAACCACGGCAGCGAAACCGUCCUCACCGGUCCCCUCCUUCUUCCCCUCCCGCAGUCCAGCAAGCAGUAGCAUGACCCUCUCCCCGGCGUCUCCAACUACCUUAGGCACCGCCAUCGCCCUCAACGGUGAACCCGCCCAACGAGGCAUGGCCGCCGGAUCAGGUGCGACCCGACCACCGGCUAAUCAGCUGCCCUUCCGCGAUGGCAACGCCCGGUACCAUCGCCCUCGACGGCGAGCCCGCCCAGCUAGGAGUGGCCUCCAGAUCAGGUGCGACCCGGUCGUUGGAGAAAGUAAUGUUAUUUGA